rnacentral:rRNA from 1 species
UACGUAGGGGGCUAGCGUUGUCCGGAUUUAUUGGGCGUAAAGAGCGUGUAGGCGGCCAGGUAGGUCUGCUGUGAAAACUCGAGGCUCAACCUCGAGACGUCGGCGGAAACCAUCUGGCUAGAGUCCGGAAGAGGAGAGUGGAAUUCCUGGUGUAGCGGUGGAAUGCGCAGAUAUCAGGAGGAACACCGGUGGCGAAGGCGGCAUCCUGGACCAACACUGACACUGAUGAGCGAAAGCCAGGGGAGCAAACGGG